rnacentral:pre_miRNA from 1 species
UUAAUGAAUUUGAAGACUUCAACUUGCAUAUUUGGAGGAUUUAAAGAUUUAAACUUGCAGACUUGGGGGGGUUUUGAAGACUUAAACU